UACGAAGGGGGCUAGCGUUGCUCGGAAUUACUGGGCGUAAAGGGAGCGUAGGCGGGUUAUCAAGUUGGGGGUGAAAGCCCGGGGCUCAACCUCGGAAUUGCCUUCAAAACUGGUAGCCUAGAGUAUGAUAGAGGUAUGUGGAACUCCGAGUGUAGAGGUGAAAUUCGUAGAUAUUCGGAAGAACACCAGUGGCGAAGGCGACAUACUGGGUCAUGACUGACGCUGAGGCGCGAAAGCGUGGGGAGCAAAC
rnacentral:rRNA from 1 species